rnacentral:rRNA from 1 species
UACAGAGGUCUCAAGCGUUGUUCGGAUUCAUUGGGCGUAAAGGGUGCGUAGGCGGCGCGGUAAGUCGGGUGUGAAAUCUUGGAGCUUAACUCCGAAACUGCAUUCGAUACUGCCGUGCUUGAGGACUGGAGAGGAGACUGGAAUUUACGGUGUAGCGGUGAAAUGCGUAGAUAUCGAGAGGAACACCUGCGGCGAAGGCGGCCUGCUGGGCAGUUGCUGACACUGAGGCGCGACAGCGUGGGGAGCAAACAGG